UACCAUAUGGACGAUGGUCCACCGUCGCCCAACUAAAAAUAGCAUGUAAAACCAAGUAUGCGCAUGCUCAGUGGCGGGCGCAGUAAAUGGUUAAAGUGAAAGUAGAUGUCGCCGCCAUUUUGAGUGACACCAAACGCAAAGCCUAUCCCAAGGCAAUGCCCCAUUUGCGUGGUAAAAGGCAACACGACUGUGUACCUCCGGGUAACAGACCACGUUCGCUGGGUGCAAGCGCUGACGGCAGACCCCAUGAAGCCGUUGAUGUCAGAGGCACGUGCUAAGACCGGUCGGAAAGUGAAGAAGACAAAGCCGAGGAAUUACUACUCUUGCUGGCUGUGCGACCGGUCGGUGAUUGACCGGCUGCGUCAUCUAGAACAGGAGCACAAAAUGGAGGCUGGGACAUUCAAUUUUGUUUACACAAGAGGGCCGUUUCCGGAAAGACGCGAAAACUUCAGGAAAGGUGACCAGCAGACUUGCCACUCAUGAUGACUCGGCAUAGGAGGAUGAGAAGGUGGAGGAUGAGGAGGAGGAGGAAGAGGACUUUUCAUUCCUAAUGCCGAAAUACUGCCUGAGCCUGGAACCCAAUGCAAGGGUGAUGCAUGGUCGGAGAAGCUGCAAUUUCAAUCGUUGACUCAUAUGUAGACUACAUGUUCCUGCGGAGCAGGCCAGGUGGGUUGGCAAACGAGUCGAAAACACAAGAGGUCAACAUGAAGAGCAACCGGUUCCUGGCCCUGUCUGGCUACUUGGAAGGAGUGGUGUUGAGUGACAUGCUGUUGUGGAUGGGCCAUAUGGAGGUCCACGACAGUUCCUCAACACCACUCACCAGCUGAAGACGGUGCGGAAUGCACUAACGGCAAUCAAGAACUUCCUGAAGUGGUGCGAGGGAAUGGUCUAGCGGACGCCCGCACAUUGAACAAUGCUUCCUGACCUCAACCUGCCUGGAUAAGAGCCGUCGCGAGGUUGUUCGGAGGGUAGAGGAGAGUGCGGCCAUCCUGACGGACGCAAACCUGGAGCGCCACUUCACUGAGAGUGAGCAUGUAGUGAAAACGAUCAAGGUGAUCCAGGAGCCCCCAGCUGGCACACCUGAAAGAUAUUCGGGGAAUAAUCAUUUAACUGAUAGCGCUCUAUAACGCCUCCUGAACUGGCAAGUGUACCUAGAGAUUGAGCUGGAGACAGUGAAGGUGCUGACCUCUGUGUGGAACACUUAGAAGCUGGCAAGUUUUCAUAUUGAAGGGUAUGGUUCCCAACCGCCCAUCACACACAGAAUGAAGCUUGUCGUCUUCCGCAGUAAAAACUGGGUGCUGGAAGAUGCUUACUGCUAUAUUGACUGCUUCCGAGCGCUUCCUGGACCUAAAAAUUAUCUCCCAGCAGCAACCUCCCCAAGGUGUGACGAGAGUCUUCAAGUGUUCCAGACGGCUGGUGAUGCAUUUCAAGAAAAGCCAUCAGAAUCUUGCAAUGAUCUGUAUACUUAAUAAAUGACAAAACAACAA